rnacentral:tRNA from 1 species
GGGGCGGUGGCGCAGUUGGCUAGCGCGUAGGUCUCAUAGCUAGAUUGAGCGAUCCUGGAACGGUGGCUGAGCCAUGGGCCCGCGCACCUAGGGAUAAAUAUCUCAGGGCUAAGUGAGUAAUCCUGAGGUCGAGAGUUCGAGCCUCUCUCGCCCCA